UUCAUCUGGCAGACCGCUGAUCAGUUGUUGUCAUCUGAAACCAGACUCGUGUUCAAGACUUGACCUUUGCAUUGAAAUUAAUCUUACAAAUCGGCUUUUUCCCUAGAAACCUCUUGGCAGAAGUAGCUUCCAAGGAUGAACCAAGACAAUUAUACAGCAUCUGAGAUUAGUAUACAGCAAGGGUAGAGUUUAUUUUCUGUGAGUUUUCUCCUGUACAAACAGGCAUGUGUAUCUAAUAAAGACGGCUGUCAAGAAAA